rnacentral:rRNA from 1 species
UUAAAAAGCUCGUAGUUGAAUUUCGGGGUCAGUAGGUCGGUCGUGCCACUGGUAUGAACUGGUUUUACUGAUUCCUCCCUCUUGAAGAACUGUAAUGCCAUUAAUUUGGUGUUGCAGGGAAUCAGGACCGUUACUUUGAAAAAAUUAGAGUGUUUAAAGCAGGCUUUAGCUUGAAUACAUUAGCAUGGAAUAAUGAAAUAGGACGUUUGAUCCUAUUUUGUUGGUUUCUAGGAUUGACGUAAUGAUUAAUAGGGAUAGUUGGGGG